rnacentral:rRNA from 1 species
CAGUGUACCCGCGGCAAGACGGAAAGACCCCGUGAACCUUUACUAUAGCUUGACACUGAACAUUGAGCCUUGAUGUGUAGGAUAGGUGGGAGGCUUUGAAGUGUGGACGCCAGUCUGCAUGGAGCCGGCCUUGAAAUACCACCCUUUAAUGUUUGAUGUUCUAACGUGGACCCGUGAUCCGGGUUGCGGACAGUGUCUGGUGGGUAGUUUGACUGGGGCGGUCUCCUCCUAAAGAGUAACGGAGGAGCACGAAGG